UACGUAGGUGGCAAGCGUUGUCCGGAAUUAUUGGGCGUAAAGCGCGCGUAGGCGGCUUUGCAAGUCGGGUGUGAAAUCCCCAGGCUUAACCUGGGAACUGCAUUCGAGACUGCAUAGCUAGAGUAUCGGAGAGGGAAGUGGAAUUUCAGGUGUAGCGGUGAAAUGCGUAGAUAUCUGAAGGAACAUCAGUGGCGAAAGCGACUUCCUGGACCAAUACUGACGCUCAUGUGCGAAAGCGUGGGGAGCAAACAGG
rnacentral:rRNA from 1 species